GACAGAGGGUGCAAACGUUGUUCGGAAUCACUGGGCUUACAGGGUGCGUAGGCGGCUCAACAAGUCAGGUGUGAAAGCCCCCGGCUCAACCGGGGAACUGCGCUUGAAACUGUUAGGCUCGAGUCAGCUAGAGGUACACGGAACUUCCAGUGGAGCGGUGAAAUGUGUUGAUAUUGGAAGGAACACCGGAGGCGAAAGCGGUGUACUGGGGCUGGUCUGACGCUGAGGCACGAAAGCCAGGGGAGCGAACGGG
rnacentral:rRNA from 1 species